rnacentral:rRNA from 1 species
UACGAGUGCCCCGAGCGUUAUCCGGAAUCAUUGGGCGUAAAGGGUGUGUAGGCGGUUUUGUUAGUCUUCUGUCAAAUUCUUCGGCUUAACCGGGGGCUCGCAGAGGAAACGGCAAAACUUGAGGAUGGGAGAGGUGAAUGGAACUCAUGGUGUAGGGGUGAAAUCCGUUGAUAUCAUGGGGAACACCAAAAGCGAAGGCAAUUCACUGGCCCACUCCUGACGCUGAAACACGAAAGCGUGGGUAGCGAAUGGG